UGGCGGACGGGNGAGUAAUGUCUGGGAAACUGCCUGAUGGAGGGGGAUAACUACUGGAAACGGUAGCUAAUACCGCAUAAUGUCGCAAGACCAAAGAGGGGGACCUUCGGGCCUCUUGCCAUCGGAUGUGCCCAGAUGGGAUUAGCUUGUUGGUGGGGUAACGGCUCACCAAGGCGACGAUCCCUAGCUGGUCUGAGAGGAUGACCAGCCACACUGGAACUGAGACACGGUCCGGACUCCUACGGGAGGCAGCAUG
rnacentral:rRNA from 1 species